rnacentral:pre_miRNA from 1 species
GUGCAGAUGGCAGCGCCAUUUUCAGAGCUAUAAACAGUAUCAUUGCCAUAGCUCUUUGAAUGGUACUGCCAUAUGUAC